GUCACUACAGCACUGAGAUCUGAAGCUGACAAAGAGCUUCAGACACAAUCUCCUGAGGUUAUAAAAAUUUACAUGGACACACAAGAGGGAAAAGACUAAUGUUGAAAUGCUGUGCAGAGAUGCUGAAAGGCAUCAUGUGUUAUUCAUUCACAUGAUAAUGUAGGUGAGAUACAGCACCUCUAGCCAACACUUGUAGGGAACUCAUACUUAUUUUGGUCUUUGAUGGACACUUUCACUUCACCAUUCCCUGCUUACUCACAUCCAACCAUUGCUAUAGUGAGUAAAGGUGCUGCUUUCAGACAGAACUGCCACUGACUGCUAAAUGAGAGUUCACAGCUCCCAAGUCACAAGGUUUUUCCAUCUGACACAUAUGCUACAUUUAUCUUCCUGCUUUAACAGCAGCUGCAUAUAGACUUUUUUCAUCUGUUCUGUGUCUCAAGGUAAAAAAGACUGAUGUGUACAUUUUACCUAUUCUGGAUAUGCUACUGUAAACACCAACAUAAAACUCAUGAGUCUUAAGAAAAAAAUCAGUGCUGUUGGGAUGAAUUUUUUAUGCUACAAAUGAACUAAGCAAUAGUACAAAAGGCAGGCAUAACUGAUUUUAAGCUCUUAAUCCACAUCUCAUGCUCAUAGCAAAAAAAGGUCUUGGAGAUGCUAUUGCCUGUAAAAAAAGAAGUUGAGCGCAUACUUGGAUUUAUAUAUUUGAUACAUACUAAGUACCCACUUGAUAUUGUAGGGGAAGAAACUAGAAAUUACCCUAGAGGAAACCAAUGGCAUUACUCAGGCACACAGCCAUAGAUAAGAAAAUCACAUCUUUGAGAGAGAGCCCAGUAUUGUGAUAUCAAAUAUGUAUAUGGGAACAUGAGAACAAGUCAGUUACUGUUCCUCAGGUAAAGAGAGGUUUCUGCAACAUGUUAAAAAUUAACAUGUGUAGUAUAAUCUUCAGAAAAAUUCAGACAGCAAUCGACUGACAUACUUCAGCUUUUUUCUGAUGAGACUUGGUGGCAGGUAGAUUUUUAUUCUUCCUCCAAGUCACCAAUUCAUCAUCUUGUUUCUGUCAUACACCUAGGUCAUGCAAAUCUUUUUAGACAUCUAUCCCCAAAUCUUCCACUGAUCUUAAUUACAGCAUCUCACAAUUUGAGUGUUCAAACAAAUCAUUUGCUAUGGAAAGCACCAGCUGUAGCCAUGUUUCAUUUGCAAGAAAAUACUGGCUUGGGCUUAUCUUUAGCCAUAAGCCUUUUCUGUUCUCAGAUUCCAAACAAAAAAGAAAUUAAUUUUAGUAGCACUUGACUCAAGAUACUAAAUUCUGAAAAUCUGAAGAUCACAUCCAAUUUAUGAAGGUCAGUAUAUUUCAACUCCACAAACUAUGAGAAGAGCUUUCACAGAUUUACUCCCCAAACCAACAGUAAUUCAACAAUAACAUCCAACUACUUGAGGUUAAUUUCAUCCUGGGUGAAUGCCACACACACACACAGUCUUUCCUUUCUAGACAAAAAAAACAUUGCCAUGGCAAUUCAGAACUUCAAUAACAUGUCCCCUUUUUCAUCUCCACAAUUAUGUCUUCCAGCCUGCCCACAUAUUUUGACUACAUUAAGGGCAUAAGUGACCAUCACAGCAAGUGACUGACUCUAAGGAAACUAAAGGAAGUGCCUCAUUCAUAACAUCAUCUAGCACUCCUUGUAAACAGCUACUUGACACUUUCCAUGAAGAAGUAGCUGUCUGAAUAAAAAAACCAAAACCAAAACCAAACAAGCAAAUCCCACACAUCUUUACAGCUCAUCAUCAUUUGCUGAGAGCCAGUCAGCAAUUUCCUUGUUCAAGUUAAUAUUUAGAAAUACUGAUGAUGUCUGCUAUUCUCAAGAGGGCAGAUGUUCCAGACCCCAAAGUCUGUGCUCUGGUCAUCAGCGCUGGCCCUCAGGCAAAGGACUAAGGAUCUCCUCCUAGCUGUUCCUCAAACUUAUGAAAGCAAGAAUGGAUGGGAGGUCAGAGCACAAAAAGCUAUCUUACAACUGCUCUAAUUCAGAUAACAUCUGAAUUCAGUAAUAUCUGAAAGUGACAUGAUUUUGAUUCAGACAUUCUAACUAAAUCUUAAACUGAAGGGUAAAAUUUCUCAAGUCACAUUGAGUACUUAUGUUCAGUAGGGACAAAAUACCUCCAUUUUGAAGCAAAAAAGAAAUUAAGACAAUAGGCAGUGGUAGGACAUGAAUAACUUCGCUCUGUUUUCCCCCAUUAUGAAAUUAAAUCCCAGGAAUCCUGGCGGACAAGCCAAUUGUGAGAGAUGAGUAAUGUGAUGACUGACUCUCACAAUUAAUAGACAAAUAUCAUGUAUACAGGUUAUAGAUUUAUAGUUAUGUUUUACCCCCUCGCAUGGUCAUCAAGGGACAGCUGGAGUUGGGACAUCUGGGAGGGCCGGCUUGUCACGACGGCAACAUCUGACCUCCAAUCAGGAUUUGAGGAAGAGAUCACCACUGGACAGUGAAGAAGGGGUUGAUGGACAGAACUUUGAGAGGGGUUAAAGGGUGAAAAAGGGGAAACCUCCAUUGUGAGGGGGCUGAGCAAAUGUUGAAGAAAAUCUUUUGCUCUUGGCACCGUAACCUUUUUUCUCUAUGCAGUCUUCUGCCGUAUUUUUGAUAAGGUUUAAUUAUCCUUCCUAAACAAUGAAAAGUGAGUAGCUAUUUCUCAUACAAUCUAGACAUUGGAGUACAUGGCCUCCUUUCCCCUGUGGACCACCUCGGGAGGCAGUGUCCCAGAAAGAAGGGAUCAUCCUUAUUCUUUCUCUGACACAUGGGAGGAAGAUACUUCAGUGAUAUAAAAUAUACAAAACCAUGACUGCCACUGUAACAAAAACUAGGCAGCGUUCAGAUAAGAGGUAUUAUGAUACCUGUAAAUCCAAUACUCCUUAUGAUCAGUGGUACUGAAGCUGGAAAAAAGGUGGCAGAAGUUCAGGAGAAAUAAAGAUGCAGAUGAAGUUUCUCCAAGUAUCCUGUAUGUAAUUUUGACUACCAAUCCCCAAGGUGAACUAAAAUCACAUCAUGAUCUGAGCAAAGAAGGGUGGUGAGCCUCCCUCAAAAACCAAAAAGGCCUUUUAAUUGAAGGAAACAAGAAAUUUGCCUUUGUAUGUGGGGCUGUGUAAAACUAACUUCUCUAAGACAGAGCUUGGUGAGACUCUGUGGGCGAUGAAAUGCUCUCACUGCUGCCCACAAGAUCAGAACAGCAGAGGCAACAACAAGAUCUCCUCCAGUUUAAUCCAGCUAACAGAGAAAUUCGAGUUGUUGUCUUGUGGUGGGCUCAGAAAACUUGAAUGUUUGGAGAAAGGACAGCUGGCAGAGCUUAGGAAGACCACUUAGGGAGGGAAAGAGUGGGAAGGGCAGGAGGCAGCUGCAGUGCAAACUGCAGAUAAGCAGCAGCUUUGGCAGGGAUUGUGCCAGCAGCUGUUUCACUGCUCUGUCUGGCUACACCUGCACCACUGAGAAGGAACAUGGUGGGGGGAAAAGCUGAUAAGACAAAAUAGUGUAGAAAAUGCUCAGUUCUCUCCCAUUCUCCCUUCUCAUCUUUAAUUCUAUUAAAGAUGGUGUGGAAACAUUAUGCAAAUCUGUUCAGAUGCUCACAUUAAUUAGGUCAAAUUAGACAAGGCUGGAAAACACAGGAACAUAAAAAUUACAUGCUGUAUUACAACUCUAAGCCUACUGCACUUUUCAGCAGAAAGUUAUUUAACAGAAAGAAAACAAAAGUCAGAAACCAGCCAUCUAACUGGUUUAGCUUCUUUAAAACCACCAGCAUUGAUUUUGUAGAAACACAUAGAAAAGUUUCUUAGACAACACUCAUUUACAGUUUCUAAAUCCUUUCAGCAUUUCAAAGGUUCUUUGCAGCAAAAAGUGACAUUAUUGUUUUGUUUUACUUGUCACACAGAUAGCUCAGCAACAGUGAAAUGGGUACAGCUAGCACCAUCUCAUAAGUCUGUAUAAUGAAAAUCCCAUCAGUGCUGCAGAGACACCAGCCGUGAAUGAGGACUGCCCUUCCUUGGAAAAAUGCAACAAAAAAGGUGUUUUGUAGAGCAUGAAAAACAUAGUCAGAUAAAAUUUCAUACUGGAAAUAAUUCUUCCUGGCAGUCCCUUCAUGCUGUUUUGAGACAGCUUCUUCCCAGCUCGCUUUGAUUCAGUGCUCAGUGAAGUUCUCCUGAGGUUUAAUCCCAGUUUCCAUGAAACACCAGAAAGGCCACCUGUCUCCUGGGAUUUAUAGGAUGACAGGUUGACAAUUUUGUUCAAUUUUGCAUCAUAAAAAACAAACAAAACCCUCAUAUGCCGUGAUUUAUUUAUGCUUCACUUUUACUUCAGAACAACCAGCAAAAUUGCUCAGAAGUUGCAAAACAGCAAAGCAGCAUUCUGCUUUGCAGAUACAGGGGUAACUAAGGCGUGAUUAUUUUUAAAACGUAAACUUGGGAAGACCCAAAAAGUAGAACACAAAAUAAAAACCACUGAAAACCAGUGCAAUGGGAGCAUAGUGAAGUGCUGAUGGAUAGAUGCAAAAUUUAACUGGCCUACUACAUUCACAAGAACACAGAACAGUCCCUUACCAAGGAGAGGCACUAUGGUCUUCUGUGAUAGACCAUAUUAAAAUAAUUUAAUAGUCUCCACAACAGCAUUUAGUUCAGCCAUUCUUGGGAAGUAUUAACAGAGAGUAAAAUUAUUUCGAAGGCAUUUGGCAGCUUCCUUUGAAUUAUGAUUUUAAAAAUUUAGGAUUUUAGCUGAGGGUUAGAACCAAUUCAUAUUGAAGUUAGAUACACCAACGAUAAGUUAAUGAUUAUUAGAUGCUUAAGCUAAAGCUAAUUGUUAUAUUAUGAUCUUAUUUAUAGAAGGAAGUGGAGCAAGUGAACCAUUAUAGGAACAUAUUGAAACCAGUAAAACAAUGCCCAGCACCUGGACUCUAUGUUAAUCCAUCAUGAAGCAGGGGGCCUUGGAUCAUGCCAGAGGGUCACAGAGACCUGAUGAGACCUUCUGGACUUAAUUCCUGGAACCACUGACCCAUUUUGAGACCACAGACCCAAUUCAAGAGAAGAACUGCAUAUAUGUGAAGGACUAAUAACCUCAUUUUAAUACAAAGCAGGGAUGGGAGGUGCUGGGGUUAUGCAUAUGUAUUAUUUUGGGAAAUAAACAAAAGGCAAAAAUCCUUUUGCAGUGCAGUCACGCAUUUGAGGGAUGACACCAUCCAUGCCACCUGCCCAGCGUAAUAAACAUACCACUUUCUAACUUUAGCUAGUUAAAGAGUCUUUGUCCAUGAUUUUUGGUUUUAAUGAUUCACCUUUAUCCUGGACACAUAAAUCAAGACAUGGUAUCCACUAGAGCAUUCCAGAAAUGUAGCAAAACAAUGCUUCCCAUGCACACACCAGUCCCUUCCUCCUAGGACUCUCUGCCUUAGCUGCCAACCAUCAUCACAUUCUCUCAUUUACAGCUAAGAUGCACAAGACAAACAGCUCAAACCACAAAGCAGUAUCACCAUCCUUUUGUCCCAGAACUGCAAGGCUCCUUCAAAAUCUGAAAUCAAGAGGUGGCAGAGGUAAUACAAGACAAACAGCUUCACAACCCAAGAUGCUACAACCAUUGUAGGAAAUUAUUAUUACAAAAAUCUGCCUGGUGAAACAUGCUGGGGAAGAACUAAAGCACUGGCUAAUGUGGUGCUGCGCUGCCUUGCAUCAAAUUACUGGCAGUCAUUACACAAGGGUCCUGUCUUUGUGUGACCACACUGGUUACAUCUGCCUUUACAAAUAAACAGCCAACUAGAAAACUGCAUGCCAGGCUACUGACAUCCCACUAACAAUUCAAAAAAUAAAUGAGGUUAUGAGCACACUGCACAGAAACCCCAUGCACAACCUUGCCAGGUAACAAUGCAGUCACACUUCUUUCACAGCACAAGAGUUUGCACAGAUUACAGGGGACUCAGCCCAAACUAACUCAAAAACCUCAGACUACAUUGCUUGAAGGUGGCUGAACCUUUUGCAGCUUAACCUCCAUUUUCAGCAAAGACAUAUGAAACACAUCUGUUUUGGUUUUAAUUUGACAACACUUGAUGAGCUAUUUUACUUAUUGUGGAACUUCUCCAUAGGGUGAUUUGUUUCUUGAUUAUCCUUGCAGAAGCCUUUGCAAACAUCACAGAAAGCCAGGUUUCUCUGAGUUUUGCAACUCUGACAAGUGUAGGAUAUACAGGAACUACUAAGGCAAAGGCCCAGUGGCCAGUAAGCAAUUGUCUUGAGUGGAGAUGGAAAAGGGGAACCUACCAAAGGAGGAAGAAAAGCCAAGAAGCAGGCAGUUCCAAGAGCUGGGGGAACUGUGACAUCUUAAAUUCUUAUUUAUUUGAGAAGGGAGAAGAAGCUAGGAACACCUGAGGAUCUCCCCAGUAGCAACAGGCAAUUUCUUGCUGGUUUUUUUUUUUCUUUUAAUACAAAUACUUGUUGAGGGUUAAGCGAAGUGACUACUCGUUAUCCUCUACAAGAUGCCAACAGUGAGCUGACUAAGGCACUACCUUUGGCUGUGGUCUCCACUUGAAACGCGGGGAAUCCCGGCUCAGUUAAUUUUUAAUUAACAUUUAUCUCCUUCUCGGACAGUAUGGCUGCCGGGGCUCUCCCUGUGAAUGCCCCCCGAUGCCGAGCCCGGGCACGGCGCCGCCCCUGCGCUCUCUAAGCACAGUCCAGCCUUGGUAACCAUUUGCAUCGAUUCCACCUUAAUUCCCCCCACAUCGGCGCUCGAUCCGGCUCCCUGGCUCCGAUCGCGGCGAUUCCCCUGGGCGAGGACGGAGCCGGGCCGGCCCCGCGGCCCUCCCACGAACGGCUCCGAGCCGUCCCGUCCUAGCGAGGGUGGCCCGGGGGUCGGAGCCCUCGGCGCUGCUGCGAGAAGGGGGAGACCACGGCACCGCCCGCCCCCGCCGAGCCCGCUCCCGGGACCGCUGAGCGGAACCUGAGGGCAGGUGGCGCGUUACAUAAGGGCAGGGGAGCCGCCAUGGCGGCCUGUGGCUUACAUCAACUUUUGUCAUCCUGCUGAACCUCUGUUUGGCAUGCCCUUUUAUCUGUUCCCUGCUCCUGAGGAGAAAGAGCAUGAGGUCAGCGCUGCAGAGGGAAGCAGCAGCACCAUAUCAUGGAAAAGCAAUGUGGCCAUCAAAGGAUUAGUGCAAGCUCCUGCUCAGGUUUUGGGUUUUUCUCCCAUUAGAGUUUACCUCAUGAUUAGCAAGCUGGGAGGCACUGGUGAACAUGAGUGUCUAGAAUUCCUUUAUAUAAAAAUACUGCCACUAUUUGGCAGUAUUUGGGGGGGACACAAGACAGAUGAUGGACUUUGGACAUGGUUAACAGAAGAGAUUUGAUAACAGAAUGCCUUGGCAAAAGCAAACGGAACCUGGAAAAUGCGACCUAGAUUGCAAGAAGAUUAAAUCAGACAGGUUUACCAGAAAAAGAAAAUCUCAUUAUAUUCUGCAAGCAAGAGACAUUGCUAUAUGCAUACAUUUGUGUAUGUGAUUUUAACCUAAUCAUUGUAUUACGCAUUACUAGUCUCCCUAAAAUAGUUCACAAGCAUAUGUAUUCCACAAUAAAAUCAGAUUCUGAUCACUGAAUAAGUCUUCCCAUCUCUCUCCAUCACCAACAACUAUUGUCACCCGAUUAUUUUUGAGCAUUGAGUGUAUCUUCCUGUUGCAGCACCGGUUCAACUAGAAUGCUUCUUGAAAAUCAUUUUGAAUGUGAUGUUUUAGAAAAUGAUCAGCUACCAGCUGUGAACAUUAAAAGGCUGAGAACACAGAGAGGAAAUAGUUUGCACAAGAAUAAGCUUAAUCCUGGAAACACCUGUCUUCUUGGAUAAAUGUAAGCUUAUUCAUACUCCAGUAGAAGUUUUGCAGUAAAGCUACAAUCCUACAAUUCUCUUGGUGAUGAGCUCAAACAAAGCAAGAGACCUGCUUGGAAAAAGAAAAAAAUGCACGGUCAGAUAAUAGAUGCAGAAUGAAAGAAUCUGAGAGAUUGAAGGCACCAAAAAGUUGAGUCAGAAUUUUUGCAGACAGUUUUGCAACCAGUGAUCUCAUAUGUUUAAUUUCAGUGGAGAAGUAGUAAAAAACCAAAAAACCACCAAAAACCCAUCCUGAACUGCUGGGUUCAGGAGAUUCUGUGCAUUUAGAAAUCCAUGUUCUGAAAUGCUGCCUAAAAUUGCCUGGAUUUUUGUGCAUACUUGUAUUACCUGCAAGCAUUAAAAAGUAGUGUCCUAGUCAUGACGCUGGGGUCUUGGUGCUAGCAGACAGUGGCACUAAGAGGUACAGCCCUGGUUUUCUCUUGUAAGUGGCCUAGGUUUGUGCCAAGAAACACAGGUUGAGAUGAUUCUCCUAACAUUCUGACUAGGAUUCAAGGACUUUGGAAAAAUGUGUCAGAGCCAGUCUCCAAAGUACCCUCAGAGUUUGCUAAAGAGACAGUCCAGGUGGCAGUACUGUGUGGAGUUUUAGUCCAAGCCAUUAGAAAUUCUGUAAGUAAUAUUGCCGGCCGGGGGGCUAUGUACAAAUCACGAACAGGACUGGACUGCUAGGAACGUGCCUUGAGCUGUUUUAUUUUCCAGCAUCAAUCUCAUUACAUGGUUAUGACAAUGGGAAGAUGCCAACAGCUCACAUCCCAGGCAGCAGACCGAGAACUUAAUGUUACAACUUUAUAAGUUUUUUGACCAAUCACACAAAGCAAAAGCAUAUUGACAGUUAUUCUAUGCAAUCGCUAUAAGCACACGUACCUUUGGUUAAAACAAUGCUUGCUUGUUUCGAAUACAAUACAUGCUUGUAAGCCUUAAGAUACAAUGCACAGAGCUCCGUUAUUAAGCUUAGAACUUCCUAAUAUCUCUCUAGAUACACUUUUCUGCAGCUUAGGGAGUUAUUCUAGACAAGCAGUAGUACACAGACCAUUGUUCUAAUGUCCUUAC